AUGCUUGCUUCAAAGCAGAUCCCAAACAAAUCUGUGCAAAAUCAAACACUAAUCAGACUUGGAGAUAAUGAUAUAUGCAAUGACAAUACAUCAAAUCAAGAAAAAAUCAGUCUGCAGACACCCUUACAGCACAAGACGUCUCCUUCCUCGACCGAUCCAUACACGGCAGCUCACCUGCUUCCUUGGCUGAUCCGGGCUUCUCCUACCCCUCCACCAAAGAAGCCUUUUAAUUUUCCUCCUUAUUUCCUUGUCAUCUUCAAAUUAACAGCAGAUCAAUUGUUUUCAAACAAAAAACUGGAAAACAUCCCAAGGUCUGCAACCACAUCCUCCUAUAUUUAG
rnacentral:rRNA from 1 species